CAGCCGCCACGGUAAUACGAAGGGUGCAAGCGUUAAUCGGAAUUACUGGGCGUAAAGCGUGCGUAGGCGGUGAGUUAAGUCUGCUGUGAAAUCCCCGGGCUCAACCUGGGAAUGGCAGUGGAUACUGGCUCGCUAGAGUGUGUCAGAGGAUGGUGGAAUUCCCGGUGUAGCGGUGAAAUGCGUAGAGAUCGGGAGGAACAUCAGUGGCGAAGGCAGCCCCCUGGGCCAACACUGACGCUCAUGCACGAAAGCGUGGGGAGCAAACAGGAUUAGAUACCCGCGUAGUCCCUGUCUCUUAUAC
rnacentral:rRNA from 1 species